rnacentral:ribozyme from 1 species
UACACUAACAUGCUCUACAAAGGGAUGGGAUCCGAAGCCCCUUUGAGGGAUAAUAGAGGCUCUCCCAUUCAACUCCUAUUCCGACACGUCCUUGUCGUGCAGAGUGUUAACAUGUGCCAGCCAAGCUACGAUACAGGGACUAGUUUGCAACUACAGGCGGUCCCCGAGAUACACGGUUAAUGGGGACCGA